rnacentral:misc_RNA from 1 species
GAAAGUCUAUAUCGACAUAUUUCCACUAACUAUUUCGGACUGGUUCUAACACAGGGACGACUGAGAAAAUGCUGAGAGCAGCAGGUGCUGCUGUUUCAAUGGAGGGAGCCUUAGAGAAGCUCCACUUACAAAUUAUGAGUCUUCACUGUAAAUAUGGACAGAGAACUUGUCAACCAUUUUUGAAACCAAGUUCAGCCGGCAUUGAUGAGAAUUUUUCUUCUAUCAAUCUCAAACACUCUAGCUUGAUAAGCUGGCGUGGUGAUUCAUUAGAGGUUUCUGCAAUAAGGAGGAGGAGGGUACACCAAAGGACAGAAACUUAUGUGCUUUUAGAACCUGGACAAGAUGAGACGUUUGUUUCUGAAGAAGAGCUAAAAGCUAAGUUGAAAGUUUUUCUUGAAAAUUGGCCAGGAAAGGCCCUGCCACCGGACCUUGCAAGAUUUCAAACUAUUGAUGAUGCGGUUUCUUUCUUGGUAAGUUCAGUCUGUGAACUUGAAAUUGAUGGAGAUGUCGGUUCAGUUCAAUGGUAUCAAGUUCGUUUGGAGUGAGAAGAAUUCAAGCAUUAUCUAGCGUUAGAUUUUGUCAAUUUAAUUAAAGCUUGUCCUACUCUUAAUAUGAAACACAUGAUCCAUGUAUAGUUUUUACUCUGAUAAGCAAAAUAGCUCUAAAAAAAAUUAAGACAAGAAGAAGAUUUCGCUGUAUGAAUACAUCCCAUUAAAAAGAAAUCUGCGAUCAAUUAAUAGCAACAACAGGACUAAUUCUACAGACAAAUUCAUCAAGUUCAAGAAUCCAUCUGAUUAUUCAGCUUUGUGAAUCAAUACAUGUUAUAUCUCAAUCUUGAAAGAGACCACAUCCUUAGCUAUUUCUUGAACCUGCAGCCACAAUGAGACAAAAGAAUUAAGAAUCCUUUGCACUGCAACUAUAAUCACCAAGAACCAAACGAGAUCAAAACGGCUAUCCCAGUUAGCUGUUUAGUUAUAUACCCUAGGCUGAUUCAUGCUAGGGGGCAAGAGACCACCAGCACCAUCACCCUUUCUGUUUCGUGCAAGAAGGCCUUUCGUAAUUGGUGACACCAUAAGAUCAGUUGGGCUUCUGUACCUGAAAGUAAUCGAAGAACAGAAAGAAUAACCAAUUGUUAUCUCCAUAAAUAAACAAAAUUGUGAACAUUAAUUGUUAUUGAUUAGCUAGAUUAAAGAGAAAGGGCUCUGUGUCUGUACCUUUCAGGAUAUUUAAAUGCCUUAGGAACUUUGAGGCGAUCUGGGGUGCUACCUUUGCGCAAAUCACUGCUCGAAUUUAAAGAUUUAGGAUCACUUUUUUGAUCCUGAGGUGGUGUAUUGCAGCUCUCAAAUAUGGUGGCUUCGGAUUUCAUUUGCUCCCUUUUAGGCGUUUCUUGCAGGUUCUCCAUUGAAGUUAAUGGCACAGGUAACCCAGAAACGAAAAGAAACAGGAAAGGUCAGAGAAGCAGAAUUUAUGACCCAACUGUUGUCCAGAAAGUACAGAACCGAGAUGAGUUUGAAAGAGAGAUUGGAAACUUGAACAAUUUGAAGAGGGAUUUAAUGGGGAUAGACUUUAUCGUAGAGGGAGGGUUUCCAACGGUCCAAUUUAUGCAUCAAUUCACCAUAGAAGAACCGUUGAAUUUUAAAACAGAGUGAUCGGCUGACUAGGUUCUAACGUUCAAAUUCUAUUGCCCUAAAAGACAAGUUAGCCAACCAAAGUGGUGGGCCCAAAAACAGCUGGUGGCUUACGCCAAUCUGAGGGAUAGAACAUCAUUACAUAUGAAAUCAUACAUGUUGUAAUCUUCUGUUGAUUCUGGAAUUAUCCAAGAAAUUAAUUACAGGGAAAUUUUCUAAAAGAAAAUGAGCUUUUUUUUUAAUAUAUGUACAAAUAAUUCUAAUAAUCUUGACUUUUUUUUAAGAUUAAAU